rnacentral:tRNA from 1 species
AUUUAAAUAGUUUAAGAUAAAAUUUUAAUUUGUGAUAUUAAAGAUUUAUUAUAAUAGUAAUUUAAAUU